AUCUACAGCCAAACCACCCUGAACACGCCCAAUCUCGCCUGAUCUUGGAAGCAGGGUCAGGCCUGGUUAGUACUUGGAUGGGAGACCACCUGGGAAUACUGGGUGCUGUAGGCU
rnacentral:rRNA from 1 species